GACGUAGGGCGCGAGCGUUGUCCGGAUUUAUUGGGCGUAAAGAGCUCGUAGGCGGCUUGUCGCGUCGGCUGUGAAAUCCCGUGGCUCAACUGCGGGCUUGCAGCCGAUACGGGCAGGCUAGAGUUCGGUAGGGGAGACUGGAAUUCCUGGUGUAGCGGUGAAAUGCGCAGAUAUCAGGAGGAACACCGGUGGGCGAAGGCGGGUCUCUGGGCAACAACUGACGCU
rnacentral:rRNA from 1 species